GGCUAUCUCCUACCUUGUAGUGUUUAGCAUGACAAUAUGUUUGGUCCCUUGUCCAUUGAUCUUGUCCGUGCAAAUCUUCAAAAUUAUAUGUAUGUAGCUUGUGUUUCUGAAUGUUGCUGUAUUGUGGUCUAAAUAUCUUACUGCAAUUGCAUUUGAUUUGACUGCGCUGUUGUGUCGUCGUCUCACUAUCCAUAGAGAUUUUGGCAUGGUUCUGACUAGCAAAUUUCUAGACUACUGUAAAUCAGGUUUUGAUGAUCUUAAAACUAUUUGAAAAAGGCUAAGUUGAGGUUCAUCUCGUUUGGAAACCAGGAUACUGUGAUGCAAAUGCUAAGUCCUUGCCAAUUCACACAUCAGCAAAACUAGGUGCUACUCUACUUCUAUUUUUCCUGACUUUAAAACAGAUAAACAGAAGCAAACGUUCCUCUUCCUUUCUCUUUGCCUACAGGAAUUACAAAUACCAGAAUAGGAUGCAAAGGCUGCUCUCUCUGUAUUUGCCUUAAGUACUAAACACAUAGAAGGAAUUACUAGCUGCAUUUCACAGCUGUAGUGACGACUGUAGUUGUGGUUGACGUAGAGGAGCCGAAUCCCACAAAUGCAUGACUCUCAUCUUAUUUCCCUAUCAAACUAUUAUCAUAUUGGAGGAAAAUAUGGAUUCUUUUCCAAGUCCCAAAUGUCAUCGGCUUCACUCUGUAAAUUAAAGAGAGACAUAACAGAUUACACAAAAAUCAUAUUGCUUACAAAUGGAUUUUAGGAAUUUUGGACAAGAUAAGUGGAAUACCGUUAGUAAACGAGCAUAGUACCCAUAGUCCCGCAAACCAUCUGCAUUUGUUCCAGUCAUUUUCUCUGUAGGUGCUUCGCAUUGUGCAACUGGAAUGUACUUCUCUCCUCUCUAUGCAAAAUAUAAAUCAGAACAAACAUUAGUUGAGUUAUUAGUAAAUCUAUAGGCUGUUUCGAUAAGUGAUAAGAGAUUUACAGAAGAAGAUUGUUUUCGGGAAUGACUUUAGCUGCCCCUUUUUUCCUUUUACUAGGAUGUUGAUUAUCAAGCCAUGAUUUCUUCCUUUUUGAAGUCUUCUGCUGAAUUUCCUUUUUCUUCAGGCAAGCUGUUUGCAAACAAAUGUCUGGUUCCUGAGAUAUGGCUUCAGUUCUGCAUGUAGUAGUAGGAGCUUUGUCUUCAACUUGCUUCUUUAGAUUCUUCAAAGCAUCAUCUACUAAUUUGAUGCACUCUUCUGAUGCAACUGCUUGGGAAGCUAUGCCAAGGAACUCGUGCAUGAAAAACUUCAGCUGCUGCCUAUCUUCCGAUCUAGGGUCUUCCAAAACAAUGUUGCCAUGGCUGUUUUGAAUAGUGCCGCUUCGUGCUUCUCGAGUCCAUCGCUUCAAAAUAUAGUGGCUUGGAAGAUACUUAAUAUUCAUGACAUCCAGAGCUUUCAAAGCAUGACUACACAAUAUACCAACUCUUUCAAAUUGGCCACAGCUACAUAGAACUUUUUGCUGUUCAUCAACUAUAACUUUGCAUUCUUCUUCAUAAGAGCAUUCCGGGUCAAGAUUGGCAAUUGCAACAGUAUAUGCAUUGUCUUCCUCCGAUGGCUUGAUGUACGCUGAGAUGGAUCUUUCGUAUUCAUUCUGAAAAUCUUCAAAUAUGCUAGGUGUGUAAACUUUGCUUGCUUGUAUUACUGUAGGAGUUCUUAUUCUAACUCUAGGUAAUUUUUUCCUCGACUCAUAUUCCUCAUUUACCUCUUUAUCUCUCUUUCCUUGCACAACCCUCUCUACGUGCUUGAAAAAACGAAGAAUGUCAAGAUCAGACUUCAAAUGGUCUUUCAAGUCACUAUUCAAGCUCUCACUUAAUUGUGUGCUUCUCAUGCCUAUAGUUGAAAGCUUCUUCAAAGUCUUCCUCUUCCUCGUACUUGUACAUGCAAGCACUGAAAUCAGCAAGUACAUUUGGGCCAUCCUCGUCUUUUUUCUUAUGAGGAGAAGGAAGGCAAAAGGGAGAUCAUCUACAUUAAUCUCCUGUCAAGUAUUGGAAAUCCCAAGUAUUUCAUGAGCAAAGCACCUAUGGUACAACUUGCAUGAGAAGGAUGGUAAAAGUGAGUUCAAAAGGGAGAUCAUCCACACCACUUGCAGAUCAGCGGGAGAAGAACAAUCAAUAGAGAGAUAGGGCAAAAGGGAGAUCUUUAUGCCACAUAAACUUGCAGAUCAGCGUGAGGAGGACAGAUAUAGGGCAAAAGAGGAUCUCUAUGCCGCCCAUAGAUCAACAUAUACCUUGGUCACGUUCUGGCUACAAGAAGGAUGAUCAAGGAGGACUGGGGAAGACCGGCGGGACGAAGGCAUGGAGAUCGCUGUUUGGCGCCAAUGUGCGUUCUGUUUGGUGCCAAGCAGCCGUAGGAGAUAUUUCACCGGACAAAUUGGGGUGUUUGUUUUCAUUCUUUAAAAGAAUUAAGUGGGGAAAUUAGAGCGGUCAGAUUGGAAUUGACGGCUGAUGUAGAUGUCUACAGCACCCGUGCAGUAAUAGUUGGACUGCAGAGGAGCCGAACCCAGGAACGAGGUAUCAGGAACUUUAAUAUCGCCUCCCUCAAUUCCUGCACUAACCAUCUGACUGCAGCGGGGAUAACCACUUUGGAAUCACCACGUAUCGUCUUCUUUAUGCUACUAGUACUAAUAACUGGACCAACAUCACGCGUUGGGAAGCAAAAGCCUCGAGACUGCUGUGACGGAGGACUACCACAUCCCAAUGACACGGUCUGCCUCGAGACUGUGUUCCCACAUGUAAUUGAUGUGACCGUUCUGUUAAAAGUGUAGGACCGUAGUUGCAUCGUGACAUUGUAACAUAGUUGUAUUCGUUGGAAUUGAGGCGCAGGUUGUUGGGUAGGAUAUACUCUAUCUCAUGUAUAGCUUGGAGUAGAGGACAAGUUGAUAACCAACCAACCACCUGCGCCAUAUCUUGUAAUUGCUUUGCCUAUAUAAACACGAAGGCGUCCCUGCGAGGAGGCAACACGCUUAACGCAGCCAA